UGGGGAAUUUUGGACAAUGGACGCAAGUCUGAUCCAGCCAUGCCGCGUGCGGGAAGAAGGCCUUCGGUUUGUAAACUUCUUUUAUCUGGGACGAAAAAAGAUCAUUCCUGAUCACUUGACGGUACCAGAGGAAUAAGCACCGGCUAACUCCGUGCCAGCAGCCGCGGUAAUACGGAGGGUGCAAGCGUUAUCCGGAUUUACUGGGUUUAAAGGGUGCGUAGGUGGGUCUGUAAGUCAGGGGUGAAAUCCCAGAGCUCAACUCUGGAACUGCCUUUGAUACUGGGUAUCUCGAGUAUGGAAGAGGUGAGUGGAAUUCCGAGUGUAGAGGUGAAAUUCGUAGAUAUUCGGAGGAACACCGAUGGCGAAGGCAAUCCCCUGGGCCUGUACUGACGCUCAUGCACGAAAGCGUGGGGAGCAAACA
rnacentral:rRNA from 1 species